rnacentral:ncRNA from 1 species
AUUAAAAAAAUCAUUACUCAUAUAUCCCCUGAAUAAGGCAGGGAGUAUCUACCGGGAACCAUAAAUUACCGACUAUGAGUGAGAUUAAUUA